GAAACAUCAGAACAACUGUGAAGGAAGAAGACAGGAAAAAUUGUCAACUUCAAACUUUAUUUAAGCAUUUUGAAUAUAUCAUGUCACUUUUUCCUGGUCUGCAAGGUUUCUGCUGAGCAAUAUACUGGUAACCUUAUUGGCAGGGAGAAAGGUUUCCAAGGUGGCUCAGUGGUAAAGAAUCCUCCU